CUCCUGCAAAUAUCGCAUACCUAUCUGGUAUUGGCCAGCAGAGCUUCCAACUAGUAUUUCAAACUCCCAUCUCAGAAACUCAAUUCAGUGAAGCCAUGAAAAGUUCCAAUGAAGAAUCAGCAAAUGAUCAGGUUGGAGAGAGAAGUUACUGGAGAUGGAGCAAGCAAGAUUUCUUCCCCGAAGAAUCCUUCAGAAACUGGGGAACCUACAGAUCUGCGCUGUCGCAGAUGUGUUUCCGGCUGAAGGAUAGGAUCCAAGGCAGGUCGGACGAUGUCACCGAGCUCCAGGAGCUCAGGAAACGGAGUGAGAACGACAUGAAACGUUGCCUGAGCUGGUGGGAUCUCACGUGGGUCGGAUUGGGAGGUCACAUCGGGGCGGGCAUUUUUGUGCUCACCGGCCAAGAAGCGCAUAAACAUGCAGGACCGGCCAUUGUCCUGUCGUACGUCGUGGCGGGUGCAUCGGCUAUGCUUGCGGUCUUCUGCUACACGGAAUUUGCAGUAGAAAUCCCCGUGGCAGGUGGAUCUUUUGCUUACUUGAGAGUAGAACUAGGAGAUUUCGCUGCAUUCAUAGCGGCAGGGAACAUACUCCUGGAAAGCGUUGUUGGGGCUGCAGCGGUUGCCAGGGCUUGGACUUCCUACUUCACCAACUUACUGAACCGUCCCUCCAACUCAUUACGCAUACACACGAGUCUUCGAAACGGUUACAAUCUCCUGGACCCAAUUGCCGUCGCUGUUCUGGUUAUUACUGCCACGAUUGCAAUGAUCAGCACGAAGCAGGCUUCGCGCAUCAAUUGGGUAGCAUCUGCAAUCAACACCGUGGCAAUUCUUUUCAUCAUAAUUGCAGGAUUUGUUCAUGCAGACCCUUCUAAUUUGACACCUUUUAUGCCUUAUGGGGCGAAAGGGGUCUUUCAAGCAGCAGCUGUUGUGUAUUUUGGGUAUACUGGAUUCGAUAGUAUAUCUACCAUGGCCGAGGAAACAAAGAACCCCUCGAAAGAUAUACCAAUAGGACUGCUCGGAUCAAUGUCGAUCAUCACGCUGACAUACUGCCUGAUGGCUCUCGUGCUUAGCAUGCUGCAGAAGUACACUGAAUUAGACGAAAAUACAGCCUUUUCUGUGGCAUUUCAAAGCGUGGGAAUGAGGUGGGCGAAGUACCUGGUAGAUCUUGGAGCUCUGAAGAGCAUGACAACAGUUCUUCUCAUUGGGGCGCUUAGCAAAGGACGGUACAGCACUCAUAUCGCGCGAGCCCACAUGAUCCCGCCGUGGUUUGCCCUUGUCCAUCCGAAAACUGGAACUCCCAUCAACGCAACUCUUCUGAUUACCAUUUCAAGUGCUCUCAUCGCUUUCUUCUCAAGCCUGGACAUACUGGCAAGCUUGUUAUCUGUAAGCACACUUUUCGUUUUCACGAUGAUGGCAGUCGCUGUUCUUGUGAGGAGGUACUACGUGCGAGAUAAAACACCUCAACAGAACCUGUCGAAGCUGGGUGCUUUCUUGCUGAUAAUCGUAGCUUCCUCUAUAGGAACUUCAGCUUACUGGGGAUUGAGCCCGAAUGGCUGGAUUGGGUAUUGCGUAACCAUACCACUUUGGUUCUUGGGUACUUUAGGGAUUUACAAGUUCUUGCCACAGCAGAGAACGCCAAAAGCUUGGGGAGUUCCGUUUGUCCCGUGGCUUCCCUCAUUGUCUAUAGCAACGAAUAUGUUUCUAAUGGGGUCAUCGGGUUCUGCUGCUUUCCUACGAUUUGUAAUAUGCACCAUAGUAAUGCUUGUGUAUUAUCUUCUCUUUGGGCUCCAUGCAACCUAUGAUAUGGCACAUCUGCCACAGCAACCGGAGGCAAAACUUCAGCAGGUGGACAAUGAAGACGAUGGCCAAAGCAACUUGGAGAAGGCGCACGUUUCUGUCCCUUGAAGGUCUCCCACUUUUCAAGCUCUAAGCGUCUAUCAGCCAUUUAGGUGCGUAAACAUAUGAGGAAGGAACUUCAUCAAGUUUUAGAUAUAUUAUAGCUGCCUCUUGAGCAAAAUUUCUUCAGUUGGCGAGAAGCUUCUCCGUAUUCGCUUCACCAAGAAUACCCAAAUUCAGUGCCAAGAGAUGUGUACUGAUAAAAAACUUCAACUUGAGCGAUUGAUUUCACAAGAGAUAUUGUACAGAGUAUUCACAUUUUGUCAUAAUAGAAGAACUACAAUGCACAUGACUCCAGCAAGUUGUCUUUUUACCGAUACUUUAAGGAAUUCCCCAUCGCUACACCAGAUCACUCAGCACAGCAACGCUUGAGUAAGAUGCAUCUCCACUGGUUUCUUGUUCCUUGUGAUGCAUGCAAACUGAUAUGCCAGGUAAACACAGAACGAAGCCAAAAGCUUCCAAUUCGAUUCAAUAGGGACUUGUAUAAUACCCUGAGAUUUCUUACUCCUUUUGUUGGAAUCCAUGCCCACUGGCUCCUGAAGUGGUUUUCGUACUUGAUGAAAGCAUGACACUUUGACGUGGAAUUACAAGAGAUAUAUAUCAUGCUUCA